GACGAACGCUGGCGGCGUGCUUAACACAUGCAAGUCGAACGGAAAGGCCCCUUUGGGGGUACUCGAGUGGCGAACGGGUGCGUAACACGUGAGUAAGCUGCCCUUGACUUCGGGAUAACUUCAGGAAACUGGGGCUAAUACCGGUAAGGAAUCCUUGCUGCAUGGGGGUGGUUGGAAAGCUCCGGCGGGUUUGGCUGGACUCGCGGCUUAUCAGCUAGCUGGUGAGGUAUUGUCGUACCAAGGCUUUGACGGGUAGCCGGCCUGGGAGGGCGACCAGCGACAUUGGGACUGCGAGAGGGCCCAGACUCGUACGGGAGGCAGCAGUGGGGAAUAUUGCACAAUGGGCGGAAGUCUGAUGCAGCAACGCCGCGUGCGGAAUGCCGGCCUUCGGGUUGUAAACCGCUGUCAGCAGGGGCGAAGCUUUUGUGACGGUACCUGCAGAAGAAGCACCGGCUAACUACGUG
rnacentral:rRNA from 1 species